rnacentral:rRNA from 1 species
GGCGGGGGACCCCUCUCGGGGGGUCCUCUUUUCCCCUUCGAGCCCCGGCGGUCUUCGGUCCUGUCGCCCGACCGUGGUGACACGAGACCUGUGUGGGUCUCACCGCCUCCUCCGGCAACGGCCUUCGGGCGCGUGUGCGUGUGGCGCGGGUCUUUGGAGACNCGGUCCGUUUUCUCGAACCGGUGGUCUGGCGCAGGGGUCGCUACCCGGUGGCCAGUUCCGCCGCUAGGGAUCGGUCGCGUCCUUUUAUGUAUUUGUGGAAGCCCGCCGGAGAUGCUGGCGGUCUGCGGCGAGUAGGUCGGUCACCCACCCGACCCGUCUUGAAACACGGACCAAGGAGUCUAACAUGUAUGCGAGUCAAUGGGACUCGACUAAGCCCACAGGCGCAAUGAAAGCAAUUUUUGGUUGGGAUCCCUGCCCCGAAUAGAUGGGCGGGGCGCACCAACGACCCGCCCUACCCAAGGGACCCCCAAUGAAUGUAUUGGCAAGGGGGUCUCUGGGCGGAGUCUGAGCAUACACGUUGGUACCCGAAAGAUGGUGAACUAUGCCCGGGCAGGACGAAGUCAGAGGAAA